UGGGGAAUAUUGGACAAUGGGCGCAAGCCUGAUCCAGCCAUGCCGCGUGAGUGAUGAAGGCCCUAGGGUUGUAAAGCUCUUUCACCGGUGAAGAUAAUGACGGUAACCGGAGAAGAAGCCCCGGCUAACUUCGUGCCAGCAGCCGCGGUAAUACGAAGGGGGCUAGCGUUGUUCGGAGUUACUGGGCGUAAAGCGCACGUAGGCGGACUUUUAAGUCAGGGGUGAAAUCCCGGGGCUCAACCCCGGAACUGCCUUUGAUACUGGAAGGCUGGAGUAUGGUAGAGGUGAGUGGAAUUCAGAGUGUAGAGGUGAAAGUCGUAGAUAUUCGGAGGAAAACAAGUGGAGAAGGAGGCUAACUGGACGAUUACUGACGCUGAGGUGCGAAAGCGUGGGGAGCAAACAGG
rnacentral:rRNA from 1 species